UGAUCCUGCCGGACCCCACUGCUAUCGGGAUAGGACUAAGACAUGCUAGUCGAGCGCCUUCCAGCCACGACGGAGGCGCGGCGCACAGCUCAGUAACACGUGGCUAACCUGCCCUUGGGACAGAGACACCCCCGGGAAACUGGGGCUAAUCCCUGAUAGGUGAAGAACUCUGGAAUGAGUCUUCACCCAAAAGACGCCUAGGCCACGCUUCUAGGCGUCGCCCAAGGAUGGGGCCGCGACCGAUCAGGUUGUUGGUGAGGUAACGGCCUACCAAGCCUUUUACCGGUACGGGCCGUGAGAGCGGGAGCCCGGAGAUGGGCACUGAGACAAGAACCCAGGCCCUACGGGCCGCAGCAGUCGCGAAAACUUCGCAAUAAGCGAAAGCUUUACGAGUUCAUCCCGAGUGCCGCCUGCUGAAGAUGGCUUUUACCUAGUGUAGAUAGCUGGGAGAAUAAGGGGAGGGCAAGUCUGGUGUCAGCCGCCGCGGUAAUACCAACUCUCCGAGUGGUGGGGAUGAUUAUUGGGCCUAAAGCAUCCGUAGCCGGCUGGACAAGUCCCCUGUUAAAUCCAACGAUCCAAUCGUUGGUCUGCGGGGGAUACUGUCUGGCUAGGGGGCGGGAGAGGCCGUCGGUAUUUCCGGGGUAGGGGUGAAAUCCUAUAAUCCCGGGAGGACCACCAGUGGCGAAGGCUGUCGGCUAGAACGCGCCCGACGGUGAGGGAUGAAAGCUGGGGGAGCGAACCGGAUUAGAUACCCGGGUAGUCCCAGCUGUAAACGAUGCAGGCUAGGUGUUAGGGCGGCUACGUGCCGCUCUAGUGCCGCAGGGAAGCUGUUAAGCCUGCCGCCUGGGGAGUACGGCCGCAAGGCUGAAACUUAAAGGAAUUGGCGGGAAGGGCGAAUUC
rnacentral:rRNA from 1 species